UACGGAGGAUCCAAGCGUUAUCCGGAAUCAUUGGGUUUAAAGGGUCCGUAGGCGGUCUUAUAAGUCAGUGGUGAAAGCCCAUCGCUCAACGAUGGAACGGCCAUUGAUACUGUUAGACUUGAAUUAUUAGGAAGUAACUAGAAUAUGUAGUGUAGCGGUGAAAUGCUUAGAUAUUACAUGGAAUACCGAUUGCGAAGGCAGGUUACUACUAAUUGAUUGACGCUGAUGGACGAAAGCGUGGGGAGCGAACAGG
rnacentral:rRNA from 1 species